rnacentral:tRNA from 1 species
CAGGGAGACAACAAAAUGUUUAAUAUUAUUAUUUUGUCACCUUAGGUCGAUCGGUAUCUCACGUUCUUAAUUUAUUAAGAAUUUCAUUUCCUAAGUUUUUCUAGGUCACACCCAUUAUUUUCCUGGGCCAUUAGCUCAGGUGGUUAGAGCGCACCCCUGAUAAGGGUGAGGUCCCUGGUUCAAGUCCAGGAUGGCCCAUAUCUCUAUGUUGGGGGUAUAGCUCAGUUGGUAGAGCGCCUGCUUUGCAAGCAGGAUGUCAGCGGUUCGAGUCCGCUUACCUCCACUGAUUACCACCUCUUCCAUAAUCUGUAGAAAGGAAAAUUUUGAGUUGUGACAAAAUUCUGAACGAAUCUAGCUUCCUAAUGAAAGCAUUAAGAUGCUGGACUCAUUGAAUUAAUUUCAUUGUUUUCAGAGAACCUUGACAACUGCAUAGAUUAUUUUUAAAGACAAUAAGCAUCUUUAAUGAUGCAGAUUUAUUAUUUUUGCAAAUGCAUUAAUAACAAUUCUAUUAAGCUGAUGCUUCAAUUAUGAAGUUAUU